UUCAGAGCAAGGUUGAAGGAAAAAACAAAGAGAAAGAUAGGUUCUUUUACUAUUACUCUUUUCCCAGGCUUCUUAAGCAUGAUUAUGUUUUACAAAUGUCUGUAUUUAGCCAGUUCUUGUUUUUCUUCUAAUGCAGCUACAAGGCCACCGGCUAGGUCACAAGUUAUAUUACGCUAUAGAUUACGUGACCUGUCACUGUAUGAUUAACUGCUAUUCUUUUGCUUCUGGAAUGCUGCUUCUAAAAACCCCACUCUGUCUUUGUUCAAUGCUCAGCUUUUGGAUGUGAAUCCUCUGAGCCGGUGCAUAACUAAAAUAAACAAGCCCUUCGGUACUCCGUAUUGGUUUCUUCAUUCCUCAAUUUACCACAACAUUUUUGGUGACCACGAAGGGACCAGAGAGGGCAGGCUUACUGUCUCCUUUGCCUCUGGGGACUGGAGCGUGAGCCUCGGGAAACCUGUGGCCCCAGGUGCCACUGGGAGAACUUCAGCCCGGAGGGGAGAUCAGCUGUCUUUUCACCCAGUGCCCCCUACCCAGCAGUGCAAUAGAACCUAAAGAGGAGCUACAGGACAAUUUCAGAAACAGCGUGCUUCAGGAAGCACGUUUCAGGUGCUGUGUCUUGGAUCCACCACAGUCGGCUAAAACCGGCAGCUCAGGACAAGUGAACCAGCCAGCAGGACCCAGAUCAUCCAACCUGGCUGAUCCUGAGGCGAGACCAAGCUGCUGCUGAGGACAACAGCCCUGCUCUGGUCACUCCAGAGGCUGACCAGUCUAUGCAUGGCUGAAGCUUGAGGAAACAACAAGCCCUGCUCUAGUCACACACCAGAAGCUGACUAGUCUAUGCACGGCCAAAGCUUGAGGACUCAUCAAGCAAGUAAAUGCAGUUAGAAAUCUUAGGACUAGUAGUUUUACUGUAUACUAACUGUUUGACUGUUGUUCUGUCCCUGUGCUCAACCUUUUUCCCAGGUGAGGACCUCUUUUGCCCUUGCUGGAUAUGAAUAUGCUGUACAUUGUUUUGUUGUUGUUACUCCUCUUAACCAUUCUAGAAUAAACACCUAUAGAAGGGUGUCUCCACUGUACACAUACUACUUGAUUAGGGAACAGUAUAACUAGAACCCUAUUGUACUAUACUUAUGAGUGUACAGGGACUCGAUUAGGAACUUGUACUUAUAAUCAGACCACCUAUUCAAUUUGUGACCCAAGAAAUGGUCAGCCUUAUAUAUGCUGUGACCCUGAGUCUUUACCUGGGACUCGGUUGGAGAUUCAUACUGAGUCAAAGGAAAGAAGUUUUAUAGGUCAAACCCAAGCCUCUCUUCCUGGAGCUAUAUGCAUAUACUUUGAUAUUUGUCAGUUAACAUCUAUGAACCCAAACUAUCUCACAAUCUCUGGUCCUACAGAGUACUAUACAAACUGCCAGUACAAAAUUGUGUGUGCACCCUCUGUUUGUCCUUCCAAGGCCCUAGCAAUAGCUUGCUGGAACUGUACAAUGCAGUUCACUGACUGAUCAUCACCGAGGUCAAAGCCAAUCUUGCUCAUCAAAGUACCAGCAAAACUGGAUUGUAAGACAAGCACUUGCAAUCCUGUAAGUCUUACUAUCUUAAAGCCAGAUCUACCUAUAUGGACUACAGGUUACUCCAUUGCAUUACAAAGCUAUGGUCAAAAAACUAAAAUAACUUUGUAUAUUCUAAAGAGGACUCAAACCAAGCAGUCAGCCCAGCAGCAAUUCUGAGUCUUUAAGUCAUUCUUUGAGCAUAUAAACCAGAAGUUACCAGAGCCUCCUCCUUUAGGCAAAAACCUAUUUGCUCAGCUGGCUGAAAACACUGCCAGCAGCCUAGGCGUUUCCUCAUGUUAUGUUUGUGAAGGGACUAACAUGGGAGACCAAUGGCCUUGGGAAGUAAAAGAGUUAAUGCCUCAAGAUAACUUUACUCUGACUGACUCUUUUCCCAAACAGAUGCCCACAGGUUCAAGCGUCUGGCUCUUAAAAACUUCUAUUAUUGGGAGAUACUGUGUUGCUUGCUGGGGAAAGGAUUUUACAGACCCAGUAGAAGAACAAACCUGCUUAGGACAGCAAUAUUAUAAUGAACCAUUAAGGAAAACUUUGUGGUGGGACAGAGAUGACUACAAAGCACAUCAUCCAAAUUCGUUCUCCCAUUUCUCUUCUCUAAAUUACACUUGGUAUCAACUUGCAGCUCCAAAUACUUGGCAAGCACCCCCGGUCUUUACUGGAUCUGUGGGCCUCAAGCAUAUUGACAGUUGCCAGCUAAAUGGACAGGGGGCUGUGUGCUUGGAACAAUUAGACCAUCUUUCUUCCUGCUCCCACUGCAACAGGGGAAAACUUUAGGGUAUCCUGUCUAUGAUGAAGUUAGAAGAAGAAACAAAAGAGAUGCAGCCAUAAAAAAUAUAUAAAAAAUAGGAGAUUGGGAAGACAUAGGGAAGUCCCCUGAAAGAAUAAUUCAACACUAUGGGCCAGCUACCUGGGCACAAGAUGGGUCACGGGGAUACUGCACUCCUAUUUACAUGCUUAACCACAUCAUAAGGUUGCAGGCAGUACUUGAAAUCAUCAUGAAUGAAAGAGCAAAUGCAUUAGAUUUACUGGCCCAGCAAACCACAAAAAUGAGAAAUGCUAACUAUCAGAACAGAUUAGCUUUAGAUUACCUCCUAGCCCAGGAAGGAGGAGUAUGAGGAAAGUUCAAUCUAACUAAUUGUUGCCUGGAAAUUGAUGACAAUGGAAAAGCAAUUAUGGAAAUAACUGCAAGAAUGAGAAAAUUAGCCCAUAUUCCAGUUCAAACUUGGAAAGGGUGGUCCCCAGAUUCUCUCUUUGGAGGCUGGUUUUCAUUUUUCACAGGGUUCAAGAUUUUAAUAAGGGUGGUUCUGGCCAUACUAGGAACUGCCUAAUACUCCCUUGUGUCUUACAUCUGCUUGUUAGAAGCAUUCAAUCAACUAUAGAGGAAAUAGUAGCUAGGCAAACUACCACACAGCUCAUGACUCUGUGUAAAUAUCAAGCUUUGUCUAAAGAAGAAAACUUGUCUCUUCAGGCAGAACUAAGUAAUAGUGAUGACUUCUAUUAAACUUCUUUCAUAAAAGGCAUCAGAAAGGGGAAACUGAGGCAAGCAUUUAAAAAUAAUAAGUAUUACAAUUAUUCACUCCAAGAAAAGUAAAAGCUAAGGCCCAGAAUGUGGCAAGACAAGGAUUAAAAAGAAAAGAACACGUUUUCCUCUGCCUAGCAGCUCACUUCAAGAACAGUUAGAAGAUAACGCUGUCUGUACAGCCAAGGCCAAAGGAAUGGACUCCAGGCACCCCCCUCCCUUCCAGAGCAAGGUUGAAGGAAGGAAAAAAAAAAAAAGAGAAAGACAAGUUAUUUUACUGUUACUCUUUUCCCAGGCUUCUUAAGCAGGAUUAUGUUUUACAAAUGUCUGUAUUUCGCCAGUUCUUGUUUUCCUUCUAAUGCAGCUACAAGGCCACUGGCUAGGUCACAAGUAAUGUUAUACUAUAGAUUACAUGACCUGUCAUUGUAUGAUUAACUGCUUUUGUUUUGCUUCUGAAAGGCCGCUUAUAAAAACCCCACUCUGUGUUCAAUGCUCAGCUUUUGGAUGUGAAUCCUCUGAGCCGGUGCACAACUAAAAUAAAAAAUCCUCCUGUA